GAAGCUGCUUGAGAGCACACCUGAAACAGAAGCCAGGGAGGUAGGCAAUUGACCGAUGAGGUACAGACGAUAGCCUCAUUCCCAGUGUUAUCGGAGGCAUCAUGGAUACCACAUCUACUGAUUGGCUAGAAGCACGGUCCAACACCACUGUGAUACAGUGACUCUGGAGAUGCCCUGAAUGGAAUUAGAGUCUGAUGAGAUCCAGAUGUGAAACCCUCAGCUUCUUCUCCAACAACACAUCUACUCGUGUGCCUUCAUGCUCCCUGCCAUUAUGACAAUAACUGAUCUUCUGAAACUGUAAGCCAUUCCCAGCUUUGCAUGAGGGAUGUUGUGCAUGAAUCAGAGACAGAGAAUUUCAUGUGAUGUUCUUCUGAAGCAGGUCAUUAUUUUCUUUAAAAUGCCUUAUUAAAAAAAAAGACUUUCCAAGAACAAAAACCAGAGACUCGUG